rnacentral:snoRNA from 1 species
AGGAAGUUUUUUCCUAUAUCUUUACAUGAUGACGUGAGUGCAUUUGGCUCGAGACUAUCAGUAAUUCGUUAGUCGGUGUGGAAAUACUCAAGCUACCUAACUUUUUUGUCUGAUU